AUACCUUUCUCGGCCUUUUGGCUAAGAUCAAGUGUAGUAUCUGUUCUUAUCAGUUUAAUAUCUGAUACGUGGGCUAUUGGUCCACAUGAUAUUAAAUUAAUUUUUCUUUGGGGAGGGUCCAUUACAGUAGCUUGCUAUUGGGAUCUUCGCGCGUCGCCCUUGCGUUGCACUACUGCAUGGGCCUGGCGCACCCACC